rfam:Lachnoclostridium sp. An14 An14_contig_7, whole genome shotgun sequence.
GGGGCAGUACUGGUUUCGACAGGGGCCAUGCAGCUGGUGAAGCUAUCCGUAUGCAAUGCGUCAAAUGGCAAACCUAAAUAUAAACGCUGAAGAUAAUUUAGCAAUCGCUGCUUAAUUGCGGCUGUCAGCCUUAGAGCACUCACACUUUAAGAUCCUGGCAUCGACUAUGUGAGAAACGACGUAUGCAAAGCUUUGCGCAUAUGGGCGUAGGAUGAAGCUACUGAACCCGUCAGGAUGUCUGUUUCCGGGCGGCAGAGGGAAUGAAAAAGAACAGACUAUGAUAGUAGAAGAACAGGGAAUUGGUUUUUGGACACGGGUUCAACUCCCGUCUGCUCCACUU